GUUGGUUUCCUGAUAAAUAUUAUUCUGUGUAUCAGUCUUUUACUUUUGGCAGCCGCUUCAGUGUGGAGAGUGCUUCCUGCACGGUCCGUCUCCUGCCUCACGCAAAGCUGCCUCACGCUGGACCCUGAACCUUGGAAGGAAACCCAGGAAGAAAGCUCUUCGAGCUCCGGCGAUGCUGCUCUAAGCCAGUUAUUAAUAACAGCCCAGUGGCUUCGUGGUCCACAGGAGCAUACGGUGUUUUUCAUAAGACGGAGCUCACUCCUUUGACUUUGGACUUCACGUACAGAAGCCUCAAAGAGCCAAGGUUGCUAAGAGACCACCUGCGGGCAUUGCGUUGGGCAGACCCAGCGAAGAGCAGCGAGGUGCUGUCACCUCUGGCCACCCGGAAUUCAUUCCUUCAGGUGAGAGGGGAGCGCCCUUCUGGG